GGAGAGUGAACUGGAGAAACCCAUCCGCACAAAAUUUCCAUGGCUCGCUUAAGAUGGCCUUUCCUGGAAAUGAUGAAACUUAAGCCUCCAGUCUGUAUGUUCCUGAUGACCAGAUUCUGGAAAAGGGAAUACCGAGGAAAGGGUCUCAAGCAUCUCUCUGUGUGGGUUGGUGUUUGGUGCUGUUGUAACCUUUAACCACUGGCAGCUGCUGGAGACAAGAUGUUUGGCCUUUGGACUACACUGCUGUGUUGUUUAUAAGGGAGAUCAAACAGGGCCUGGAUUCUAAAUUCCCUGCCAAGGUGGUUUCAUCUCAGGCCUCAGAAAUCAUCAGCUGUGCUUUGCCUGUACAAACAGGCACACUUGUGUAUCAUGAACUGCAUGAUGAGAUUCUGUGAAGCACAGUGUGUAUAGCAUGCCAUGAAGGUAGGAGAGAAGUGCUAAGUAUUCUUUCCUCUUCCAUGUUCUUUCACCAUUCCUUCUGUACUUUCACUUAGACACACUCCAAGAAGCUCCAAGAAGCUCCACUAACUGGGACUAUUCCCAGUAGGAACCAGAAAAAUUCAAGAUGAACAAACUGCUGUCACCAAAGAGAGUCAUGAGAACACUGAGGCAAGCAUUUUCCCUAGACCCUGCUCAUCAAAAUAAGAAUUUUAUAUCUAACCUGGGUGGUCUUUUUUCCCCCCUCAGGAUGCCUUGAUCUGUAGGUUACUCUACACUAAUUCUUUGUGUUAGAAAGGUAUGCCUGUGGAUGGACUCUUAGCAAAUGCAAAAAUUGGAAGUAAUAUGGUCUUUAGAUUAUGUGGAGUCUCCAACAACAUGACAAUGGACUGUGUGGCCCAGAAAGUCCUUUUGGGUAUCUGCUGCCAGCUCAUAUGCAGAUGACAUGGCUUUUCAGGCUUUUGAGGAAUGCAUAUGACAGCUCACCAAUGGUCUGCACUACUCCAGGAUGCCAAUUUAGAACCCACUGCUAUGAGACCUGUGAAAGCAAGGUACAGGAGUAUUUACAGCAAUAAAUGGAAGAUCUGGUUCAUUUUGGCUUCUUGUUCUGUGUUGUUCCCUGGGGUAGCAAGGGAUGCAACUAUGAGACAUAUUAGGACCAGGCAGAAGGUGAUCUUGGUAGGUCAACAACUGUCAUACAAGUAGCUGCACAGUGUCAAGUGUGUUCACCAGCACUAAAGCUCAUUGGUUCACAAGGGAAAGCAAACCCUGAAAGUAUAAAUUUUGAAUUUGCAUUAAAUGCCCAAACCAAAUGAGCCAUAAUGGAGGGCGCUCUCUCUCUGAAACUGAAAAUAAAACAUAAACUAAGUAUUGGAUUCUAAACUUAGGAACUGUGUUUUUCAUUCUGCCUUCCUUCCCCAGAUUCCUUCAAGAUGAGAAGCAGUUCAGACAAGACUGGUAAGACUGGUAGGAAUGCAGGACAAAAAUACAUUCACAAAUAUGUGCGGCCUGCAAGUGGAUGUGUCAUAGAAGCUCAGGCUUUCAUUUAAAGUAUUCAUUGCUCUUAAGGAAAAUUUCCUUGUCUGACCAUCCAGAAGCCACUCUGUCAGUCACCCUGGGACUGAAGCUCUUUCUCAGUGGGCAGUUCCAGUGACCCAGCAAGUGCUUCGCUUGACUCCCUACACCUUCCCCACUCCCACAGUCAGACCAGGUUUCCUUACUGGCUCAAGCUGAGAUUUCCCUUAGUAGAGUCUCAGACAUUUGGAUCCUUAAAAUAAUUUAACCAUGGUUCAAGCUAGGUGCCUCCAAGAAGGGACCCCAAAGAAAGCUCUGGGUUUUUACCUCCUCCCAAUCUCUGUGUGACGAAGUCCUGGCUCUUCCUGCUGAGUCCUUGGCUCCUGCCGUGUCUCAGUGUCCUGUCACCUGGCUGUGCCACAGGUCCUGUGCCCACCAGGGUCAGCGCCAGUUCCUGGCCUCUUGCCUGGGGCUCUCUGGCCUCUCUGGGGCUUGCCAGAGCCCAACCUGUGGUUGACACUGCAGCUGCACACCAAGCUACUAGUACUGAAUGUGUUUCUUAACACUCUUCAUCUUGUUACUGUAACUGAAAAGGUUAUCAGUUUGGGUUUGUUGGAUUUUUGGGGUUAUUUUGUUCUUCAGUUUGUCAGAUGACAUAAAACAGGAGUUGUUCUGUAACCAUUCAGAAAGAUUUUCUUGAAGUCCUUGGCAGAGGUUAUAUCACCCUAAUUUCAAACACAUGCCCACAAGCACCUUUUUACUUCCUUUGCUGUUCAGGGAUUCUUAUUUGUUGCAGGUCAUCAUUCCCCAGGCAACACUCACUGCCUAUUUUGUACUCACUGGCCAAGAUCCAAGAUACAGCAGAUAUUUCCUUUAGAAAAUAAGUAAGGGAAGAAUGUGGUACAGGGAAAAUUAUACUUAACUUUGAAUUAUGCACCAAGUGCUUAAAUAUUGUAAAGAAUCUCAUCUUUUUAAUGGGAGGGAAGGCAUGCCAUAUUUAGAAACUGGUUCCCAGCUCACACAUCUGUGUAAUUUGAUUC
ensembl:lncRNA